AGCUUUGCACAGUGGCAGUAUCGUAGCCAAUGAGGUUUAUCCCAGGCACGAUUAUUACUAAUUGAAACACUUUGAAGCGUAUUUUGAACCACAUGGUGAUUUUCUUUUAGCAACAGCCACAAAUAAAUCCUCUGUUAAUAUUACUUUACUUAACAUUAUUCUAAGAGCUAUUUUCUCCUUUUCUCAGGAUA
rnacentral:snRNA from 13 species